GGCAGAGCAGAGGUGGGCCUGCGCGCAUCUCUCGGCACCUCUGUGAUCCGCGCGCCACACCUCGAGGCCACGCCCCUGGCUCGGGGCCACCUGUCAGAAGCAGAAGAGAGAAGGGUCCGCCCCCAGACAGGUGCAGAGCCCGGGAGGUGCGGGAUGCUGGUUCCUGCAAGUGCAAGGUGACCUGCGCGCUCUUACUGGGGUGCAGUGGAAAUCUGAGGUGCACCACCUUACAGAUUGAUGGAUCUUUGUUGCGGCCGGCGCCAUGUUGCACGCGGCCGCAUCAUCUUGGACGCGACUGGCGUCAUCCCAGACGCGACCGGAGCCAUAUUGAGCACAAAAUGGCCGCCAGUCUUUACCCUACCUCAUGGUUUUCUUAGACAAAGAAUCGCUUCUACUCCCGCCUAGAGGUACCUCCCAUCUUGAUUACAUCAGCCCUACCCACCACAACAGCAGCAAUCGUGGGCCUUUUCCUACACACCAGCACCCCCCCCCCCCCGCCUGCGUUUUUUGGUGCCCACCAACCGGUGUAAGCCUGUGGACUCCAUUUAGCUGCUGCUGUAUGCCAUUUUGAGUGCAGCCUGGCAGAUUUUUCUUCCCUUAAUAAAGCUUGAACGGUACCUGGC